rnacentral:rRNA from 1 species
AUGGCGAGCGGCGGCGCCCCCGCAUCGACCUCCGGCGCCGGGGGCGGCGCUGGCACCAAGACCGUGUCCGCCUCGCUGUGGUGGGACCCCUUCGUCGCCCUCUGCGACGACCUCGACCGCGCCGCCGCCUCCCCCUCCGCCGCCGUCUCCGACGCCCUCGCGGAGCGGAUUAAGGGCCACCACGAGUGGCUCCGCGGGGCGGUCUCGAUGUUCGGGAAGCCGAACGGCGCCUCGAGGGCCGCGCUCGACGCCGGCCAGGUCGCCGUCGGGGAGCACCGCCUGGCCGUCAAGCCCGACCUCAAGGAGGCCGCGCUCCGCGCGAGCAAGUCCCUCGACCUGGACGAGGUGCAGUCGUACAUCCUGGUGAAACGGUCUUCAGAGAGCGCCCCAACGACCCGUGACGCUGACCCUCAGGAGCUCCUUCGGCGGGUGUCUCUGCAAUACUACCUUGAGCGUCAGUGCCUGCUCAAGUGCAUUCGGAGAAUCUUUGUUCAUGCCACAUGCACAGAUGAUGAUUCUGAUUCAUCCGACGCCAUAAAGCAAGAGGCCUCGCUGUUAGGCAGUGACGAGAUGGAGCGGAGAUUGCUGUCCAUCAUUAAAGAUUCCCUUGCGGCUGCAUUUUCGGUGAAAUCAGCAGCUGAUUUGACGGUUUCUUGGCUGGAAGAAAGCUUGAUUGAGAUUAACCUGAUCCUGGACAUUCUGUUUCUUGCUAUCUGUGAUAACUUCUCAAGGUGCAAUGGUGGGCUGUGGAUAGCUCUGUGCUCGCUGUUUAGGGAUAUGCUCUCUGGCUCUUAUGAUGUUGGAAAAUUUGCUGUGUCUGCUGAAGCAAAGAGAUCAUUUCAUUAUGCUAAAGCUCAGCUACUCCUUAUUCUCAUCGAGACUUUGGACCUCGAAAAUCUCCUCCGAAUGGUUCAUGACGAAGUCUCUUUCAGUGGAGGGUAUUCCCAGUAUUCUGUUGCUGAAAUUCUUGAGAUGGAUAUUGAAGUAUCAAGAUUGCCUGAAUUUGAAGUGGAAUCAGGACCACUACUUCUUGCUUGGGCAGUUUUUCACUGCCUGCUCCUGUCUCUUCCAGGAAAUAAUGCCAACUUGGAAAUUGAUCAUGCAUCUUAUGCCCAGCGGGCUUUUGAGCUUGCACCCUUCAAUUAUUUACUUGGAGUUCUUUGCUCAAGCAUCUUCAGGGAGUCAGAUGGUCCUGUUUCUGGUUUUCGUGCUGUACUGAGAUCUUUCAUUUCAGCUUUCAUUGCUUCAUAUGAGAUAUCUUAUCAGACAGAAGACAGUUCUCUUGGUGUGAUACUGAAUAUUAUAUGCGAAGUUUAUGGUGGAGAGGAAUCACUAUGUAUGCAAUUCUGGGACAAAGAUAGUUGUGUUGAUGGUCCAAUCAGAUCUGUUCUUCAAAUGGUGGAGAAAGAGUAUCCUUUCCAAAUAACAGAUCUGCUUCGCUUCUUAUCAGCUGUUUCUUAUGGGACAUGGCCUGCUCAAUGUGUAUAUAAUUACCUGGAGAGGAUGAAUGGGCUAACAACACUGUAUGCAACCCCUGGCAGUGUCCCUGAUAGUCUGAACUACUGUGAUCAAAUUGAAAUUCAUCAUCCAAUCAGCAUUCCUGGUAUGGAAGGCAUUACAUUACCCCGUGGAACACGUGGUUACAUUUUGAGAAGUCUUGAAGACAAUGCUGCAUUAGUCCGUUGGGAGUUCCCACAUUCAGGCGUUUUCAUUUUGCUCCUCACUUUAGCACAAGAUCUAUAUUCAUGCAAUUAUGUGGAAGCCUGCGAUAUAAUGGACUUACUGUAUCAGAUGGUAUCAUCAAAUCAGGAUCUGUGCUCUGCUUUGCUGCAUGCUGACAAGUCACUUGCUGUUCAAAAAUCAAAGAGUUUGGGCCAAAUUGGAGAAUAUAUCAGGAUUGAUGUUGUUAAAAUCCUUUGCUCAUCAAUUUUCAAAUAUGAGCAAGAUGGUAAUAAUGCCAGCAUAAUGUCAAAAACCUUCAGCAUGUUAUCAGAAUUUCUGAAGUGUGUUCCAUACCGUGUGUUCGACGUGGCGUUAGAAUGCGGCAUCUUCAGCUCACGAUUAAAUGACCCCUCAAGUGAUUGGCUACUUUCUGGUGCACUAGCUAGAAUGCUUUUUGCCGCCUCUGAGGAAAAUGGAGACUGUUCAUCACUUACCACUUCAUUGCUUGAUUUUGCCAUUCAGGUUUUGCGGAAAGGAGCCGCCGCUGAUGACAUGAUAUCACCGUUCAUUGUUUUUUCAAUUCAAUACAUCAUGGUCAAUCAUAUGAACUGGAAACACAAGAAGUAUAGUCGCUGGAAGACAACCUUGAAGGUGUUUGAAUUGGUGAAGAGCUGUAUUCAAGUCAAACCAUUCUUGUCAAAGCUUGGUGGCAUCAUUUGGCAAAUGCUACUAUAUGAUUCUUCUAUUCACAGUGUUCUUUGGCAUGCUGUGUGCACGUCCAUGCAAUUAUUGGAAUCGCGUGGCAGCUUCAGUAAUGGUGUUGAAGAUAUUGAAGAUAUACAACUUGUUCUUUGCUGUGGACUUGAUAUUAUAUUUUUCAUGCUGUCCAACUUACCAGAGGACUUGAUGCCAGUUGCACCUUUUGUUACUUUGGUUUUGUCAUCUUCAUUGAAGCCCUUACCUUUCAUCACAGCUACAAUAUUGUCUAUGUCCUUUCAGAAUUCUGCUUUACAAGUUAGUGCAGCUAGAGCAUUAUCAGUAUUGUGCUUCACUGCCCACAGAGUCCAACCUCAACUCAUGGAAAAUGGUAGCUUUCUUGUUGAUGGUUCAGAGAUAUGUAGAUUGCAAGCAAGUAUUUCCCAAAUUCUUAACAAGGAAGAUGAUACUAAUAAUUGUUUGAUCGUGGCUAUAUUCAGCCUUCUGACUUCUGUUGCUCGCUAUCAGCCUGCUCUUUUUGUUUCACUGACAGAGGAGAAUGCAAUGAUACAAGCUGAUCAUAGUAAUUCUGCAAAUUCUCAGACCAAUGGUUCUUCUACCCUCAACAGUUCAAGAAGUAAUUCGAGACUUGUUGAGCAAAUGUUGGGAUACAUUGAAAAUUCGACCGAGUUUAUGAAUAGUUCUCCUUCUCUGUUACUUAGCAUCCUUGACCUACUCGAGGCAUUAUGGGAAAGUGGUGUGCAAUUCAUAUGCAUAUUAGAUAAGCUGCGAAGCUCUAGAACGUUCUGGGAGAGCUUGUCACGUUGUAUUCGUGGCACCUUUGAUCAUUGCCCUGUUGACACUGUUGAUGAGAAAGUUUCUUCGAGGUAUAAUUGCCAGGCUAAAAUUUUCAAGAUCAUGUCACAUGAGUUGUUCUUGAAAGGGAGAUUACUUGUGGAAGCAAAAACUUCUAAUCCUGUAGCAGAUGGUACAACGGGGCAAAAAGAACCUUCUGCAUCUUCUCCAAGCAACGCAGUUUGCAAAUGGUUUGAUAGUGCUCUCUUGGAAGAUUUUAUCAAUCAUUUGUCAAGCAACGGAUACCAGAAGGAGCUUUUUCAUCGUGCCAAGGUAGCUUCAUGCGUUUGCAUCAUCCGUCUGAUAACGAAGUUGUCCACUGGUGAUACUGCCAGCUUGUCUUUGUCGGCAGUGAAGAAGAUUCAGCUAAUCUCUAGCAAAUUAUUACAACACCGUGCAUUCAUAGCUCUGCUAUCACAGUAUGCCCUGCAUGGCUACAGUGGUGAGCAAGAACUUACCAGUUUGGUAAUCAAUGAUCUUUACUAUCAUAUACAUGGAGAACUCGAGGGUCGUCAGAUUACUCCUGGUCCCUUUCAGGAGCUCUUGUGUUUCCUUCUGGAGUUUAAGUUUUUUGAAUGCAAUGCUACAGAGCAACCACAUAGCGCCUUCCCAGCAGUCAGUGGCAAUGUUUUGUUUGAUGUUGCACACACUCGUGAUGAUCUUGGAGUUAAACUUUGGAAUCAUUCAGAUUGGAAACCCUGCAAAGAAGUAGCUGAAAAAAUGCUGGAUAUUAUGCAUAAAGCAAAUCUGAUGAAGCGUCAUGCUGAUGCAAAGCUUUGUACAUUAAGGUCCUUCAUAACAUUUCUAUCUGUCUACACUGGAACAAGUUCCAGUAAUGAACUCACCUUACCUGAUGGAGGGAUUUCUGCAACAGCUAUGGAAUCAGCAAUUAGAUGUGCAUGCAAAUAUUUGCAGUCAACUGUUGAUUCUCUAUUUCCUGAAGUUGAUACGAAUGAGGUUUUGUUUCCCCUAUUGUCUGGGCAAGUGGACUUACUGCUUACACUUACCAGGUUCUUAUUUCACCAAGCUAAGCAAACCAAGAGCUAUGUUCAUCUCUAUCCAGUUAUUGUACUUCUUAUGAGAACCUCAGGUGCCAGCACAUCAUUUUUAGUUGAUCUCGUGCCAUCAAGUCCUGCUCUUAAGAAACCAGUGAAGUCCCUCCUUGUUCUGAUUCUGUCUUUAUUUGAAUUCAUUUAUGGUAAGGAUGACAUGAAAGAUGGAUCAGGUGAUGCUAAUCUGUUUGGUGAAUCAUCCAUUAUAAGUAUGAGGUUGUUACCUGUACUCUGCAAAUUGGCUGAGAAUAGGGAAUAUUCUGAUCUUGCUGUUGGAUCAAUGGACUUACUAUUGAAGGGCUUUAUACCCCCCAAUGUAUGGUUGCCAAUUCUACAAAAGCAUUUCCGUCUCCAGGCUAUACUGCAUAAAUGUCAGAAUGGUGCAAUAUUGUCUACUCAAGUAAUUUUGAAUUUCCUCUUGACCUUGGGGCGGACAAAGGAAGGUGCUAAAAUGCUUCAGUCUGCAAAUAUUUUUGCUUUCUUGAAGGUACUUCUAAGUAAGUUAUCUCUGGAUGACUCCUGUUUCAGAAAUUCUUUGAGCAGCCAAGCGAAGGAUGUGCAUAUGUGGAGUUUGGCUCUUGCUAUAGUCGCCUCUCUCAACCAUUGUAUGGAUGAUGAUGUUUCUCGUAGCAGUGUUGCGAACGGGACUGUCAGCUUCCUUGCAGGACAAGUUCCGCUGAUGUCCUCUUAUCUAUCUGCGCAAAGUGUUAAUACACAUCAGAACAAGAAAAGGGCGGUGUUGCAACAGUCGCAGACAUCACUUUCAGCUCUGAGUUUAACUGAGAAUAUCCUCUCACUUCUAUGUGUUUUAGCAAAAUAUCAUUUUCCACGGGACACUGGUAUGAUGCAAGUAGAUUCAGAAUUAAGAGAGAUUAUUAUCCACCUGCUUGCUUUUAUUAGCAGAGGAAGUGCAAGGACUGGCGAUUCACCAAACUGGAACCCAUCAUUUUGUUGUCCUCCUAUUGCUAAGGAAGAAGUGGUGCUUCAUGAAGAUCCACCACUCAUCAGGAGCAAACAUGGAUGGUUCAGAUUUGCUGCAAGCAGUUCUCUUUCCACUGCAGCUAUUUCUGCUCCUUCCAAUGCAGCAUUAUCUCUGGUGAUCAGAGACAAAAAUAGUGGAGAUUCUGGUUCUGUGAAACAGACUCGUUUUACCGAGAUGGUAGCUGUGCAGAUUUACAGAAUAGCUUUCCUUAUUAUGAAAUUCCUGUGCAGUCAAGCCAAAGAGGCAGUAAAAAGGGCAGGAGAAUUAGAAUUUGUUGAUCUUGCACAUUUUCCUGAACUUCCCAUGCCAGAUAUUCUUCAUGGUCUGCAGGAUCAAGUGGUUUCUAUCGUUACCGAAGUACUGGGGGCAAAUGGAUCGAGCGCCCUCAGCGGGGAGACCGAUAGGGUAUGCCGUCUUCUGUUGGUGACCCUCGAGGCAUCACUCUACAUGGAACUGUGCGUGUCCCAGUCAUGCGGCAUCAGGCCAGUGCUGGGCCGGUUUGAAGAUUUCUCCAAGGGAAUUAAGGCGAUGCUUCACGCUUUGGAGAAACAUUCCAGUUUGAAACCAUUGGUCAGGUCACUUGCUCAGAUUACGACACUCCUGUAUCCUGGGCUUGCUCAAAGCAACUUCCUCACCAUGUAA